rnacentral:rRNA from 1 species
UACAAGGGAAGAUGGAGACGGUGCCGGAGGGCAGAGGAGCAGGGGCGGCGGAGAGCGGCGCGGUACCGGCGACGGCGGAGGCGGUUGGGCGGCGGGGGCGUCGUUAGCGGGGGGUUCCGCCACGCCCAGCACCACUUCCCGGCGCACGUCCCGCAGAAGAAGGCGCUGACCUGCCACCUCUGCCGGGCGCGCGAGCCCGAGCGGCCGACCCAGGCGUUGGCGGUGCUGCCGUGGCACCUCCGGGAGGACAGGCCGCUUGGGCGGUCCCAGCUGCUCUACCAGAGGGCCGCGGAAGGGCAUCCCGGAGGGCGGCGGCGGCAGUGGCGCCACGACGGAAGGGGUCGGCUAGGCGAGCUGGGAAGGCUCCCGAAGGUGGCGUUCGGCUGGCGGACUGCUGCCGACCAAGAACAGUAACUGUACUAGUAGGAGAAGUGACUACGAACUCCUGACGGUGUUUCCUAUACGGUGAUGAAUUCUUACACGGUAGUGUCUGCUAAAUCUUUUAGGUAGUAUAUGUAGAAGGGCCACUGUACCAAAUACAGUAGUGUUGGACCUGUAAAACAUUAUUCUAUUCUCUACUGACUUUCCAAGUAUUACACUUUACCAAACACUAAACCAGAAAAAUAUCUGUCAAGCACGAACUCCUUACGGAUACUAUGAGAAAAAGUGUGACAUUAAAGAAACAUUGAACCGAUGCAAGUUCUUUACGAUCAGUAUGAGAGAAUUUGUUUA